GACGAACGCUGGCGGCGUGCCUAAUACAUGCAAGUAGAACGCUGAAGGAGGAGCUUGCUUCUCCGGAUGAGUUGCGAACGGGUGAGUAACGCGUAGGUAACCUGCCUGGUAGCGGGGGAUAACUAUUGGAAACGAUAGCUAAUACCGCAUAAUAGCAGUUAUUGCAUGAUAACUGUUUGAAAGGUGCAAUUGCACCACUACCAGAUGGACCUGCGUUGUAUUAGCUAGUUGGUGGGGUAACGGCUCACCAAGGCGACGAUACAUAGCCGACCUGAGAGGGUGAUCGGCCACACUGGGACUGAGACACGGCCCAGACUCCUACGGGAGGCAGCAGUAGGGAAUCUUCGGCAAUGGACGGAAGUCUGACCGAGCAACGCCGCGUGAGUGAAGAAGGUUUUCGGAUCGUAAAGCUCUGUUGUAAGAGAAGAACGAGUGUGAGAGUGGAAAGUUCACACUGUGACGUAUCUACCAGAAAGGAC
rnacentral:rRNA from 1 species